GACGAACGCUGGCGGCGUGCUUAACACAUGCAAGUCGAACGGAAAGGCCCUGCUUUUGUGGGGUGCUCGAGUGGCGAACGGGUGAGUAACACGUGAGUAACCUGCCCUUGACUUUGGGAUCACUUCAGGAAACUGGGGCUAAUACCGGAUAGGAGCUCCUGCUGCAUGGCGGGGGUUGGAAAGUUUCGGCGGUUGGGGAUGGACUCGCGGCUUAUCAGCUUGUUGGUGGGGCAGUGGCUUACCAAGGCUUUGACGGGUAGCCGGCCUGAGAGGGUGACCGGGGACAUUGGGACUGAGAUACGGCCCAGACUCCUACGGGAGGGAGCAGUGGGGAAUAUUGCACAAUGGGCGGAAGACUGAGGCAGCAACGCCGCGUGCGGGAGGACGGCCUUCGGGUUGUAAACCGCUUUCGCCUGUGACGAAGCGUGAGUGACGGUAAUGGGUAAAGAAGCACCGGCUAACUACGUG
rnacentral:rRNA from 1 species